rnacentral:rRNA from 1 species
UACAGAGGGUGCAAGCGUUAAUCGGAAUUAUUGGGCGUAAAGCGCACGUAGGCGGCUUAGCAAGUCGGAAGUGAAAGCCCUCGGCUCAACCAAGGAAGUGCUUUCGAAACUGCUGAGCUUGAGUAGUUAAGAGGAUCGCGGAAUUCCCGGUGUAGAGGUGAAAUUCGUAGAUAUCGGGAGGAACACCAGUGGCGAAGGCGGCGAUCUGGGAACAUACUGACGCUGAGGUGCGGAAGCGUGGGGAGCAAACAGG